rnacentral:lncRNA from 1 species
CAAGUGUACCUGACUCGGGUUAGCAGGAGCAGCGGGCCCUCAGGUGAGGCCUCAGGCUCCCUGAUGUGUCCCCCCGUCCUCCUCACAGGCUGGCUGUGUGGUUUGACAAGACAGCAGAGGCUGUGGAAAGGAAGGGACAGGGAGCUUGUGCACGCUCUUCCUUCCACCAGCCAGCUCCGGGCAGAGCCAGUGCCCCAGGCACCUUUCCAAGGCAACUGUGCAAACAUAUUCACUUCAGAUCAACCUUCUGUCUGCAAAAUCCAGCCUGUAAACUGGCCCUGCACCCUACAAGAGGCACGGGGAUUUGCUGCUUGUUUUUACUCAUGGGUCUUGUAAGUUCUCCCUUUAGUGAAGGGAGAACUUCCAGAGACCGUCAUGCUUGAUCACACAUUGGCCAGCACUCAUAAAACUGUAUCAUGUUUACUUAAACUAUUUUUUUUUUUUUUUUGAGACAGGGUCUCACUCUGUCACCCAGGCUGGAGUGCAGUGGAACCAUCAUAGCUCACUGCAGCCUUGAACUCCUGGACUCAAGCAAUCCUCCCCCCGGGUAUCCCAAAGGGCUGGGACUACAAAUUGGGUUUGCGCCUCUAUGACCCCAGGCUUGGCUCUGAUCCUCACUCCGGAUCUUGCUCCUGAUCUCUGGAGUGGUAGAAAUAAUCCAGCCCACACGUUUUAACUUGAAUGGAUUUCUGUAAGUGACUGCAUCUCUUUGAUCUGAGGCUCCUGUCUGCAAGGUAGGUAUAGUCAUAAUAAUUUCACCCAUUGGCCAGGGCUGAUGUUGGAUUAGGUCACCUCCAACACCACCUUGGACUCCCUCACUAGGUGUUGUGCUGGUGUGUGAACAUUAUAACCAAAGACGUGGCAUCCCCCGUCUAUGGGCUCCCCUCCUGGUCUCCACCCCAGCUCCGUUUCCUGUUCACCAUUUUUGGCUCUGAUCUAUGACCUCUGCUAGCAAAGCAGCACAUUUCUAAUUUGGCAGGGGCUGCUGUUCGUGUCCUUUUCUCUGCCCAGGACAAGAACGAUGUAAUUGGAACCACCAAUGGCAGACACAGAAAGAAAACAGGAUUGACAAGCUGGCACCAUGUGAGCCCAUGAGAGCCAAACCAUGGCAAGGGGAUUGCAGAGAGUCAGAUUCUCCACUGAGCCCUGCCCCGGCAGGAAGGCAAGCUCCAGUCAAGGGUGGAACAAGGUGACGCCCACGUUCAGCCAUAGGAAGCUCGCACAUCUCCUGCCACCAGCCACGACAGCCCCCGUCCUGCACAGGCAGGCCCGAAUCUUGGGAAACACAAUGGCUGCCGCCAUCACAGUUAUAGAUAUUCACAGGUCUCAGAGAAGCCCAAAUGCAAUCCUAGCUGACACGAUAACGGAUAUUUAGCAGGGAGUGGAGAGCCCAGGGAAGAAUACUGUGAUGCUGAUGGGGAAUAUUGAUGACUCCCAGUUUGCAGAUAGUGGCACGUGGUGACACCUCCUCACUGUGUGAUCCAGGGGCCUUCCCUGAUGUGGUCCUGGAUGUUUCUGUACUGAUGGCCUCACUCCCCUGGCUGCUUGGCUCUGUACUGGGAUUUUCAUCUCAGGAUGUGUGAAACCAGCCUGAAGACAGUUCUUGUAAAAAUGUCCUUGAAACCAUGAAAUUGGCGCAAGACCGAUCAGAACUGAGAUAGGAAAGUCACUCAAAGAACUCGAAAGCCUACCAGGCCAGAAAGGGUGGUCUACGACUUAAUUGGUUGUAUCAACCCAUGUAAGCAAGGACUAUGUCCUUCAGAAAUGGAUGAACGAGAAUGGAAAGCUGGAGGAAGGAGAGACAGUCACACAUGGGCAGUGCUCAUCAGGAAGGGCUCUGCUUGGCAACAGUGCGUCUGAUCCACCUGUCAGGUAUAUCCUUAUUUUGAAGGUGAGACUUCCUGGGAUUUUGGAGACUGAUGCUAAACUCUGAGCUCCAAGAAAGCAGGAACAAUGUAUCUAACUUGUUCACAGGGCCUCAUGCAAUGUAGGUAUUUGAUGAGUGUUUGUGGAAUGAACUCAUUGACUCUUUUAACAUUCAAAUCUUUCAUAUAUGCAUAUAAAUACAGAAGUUAUGUAUUGUA